ACUCGCUUGGUGAAAAAGGUAAACACGAUGGAUUUAAAAUCCAUUCUCAAAUAGAGUUAUUGGUUCAAAUCCAAUAGCGAGUA
rnacentral:tRNA from 1 species